AAAGUACUCCCUCCGUUCCGAAUUACUUGUUUUAGAUUUGUCUAAGUAUGAAUGUAUCUAGACACAUUUUAGUGUUAGAUACAUCCGUAUAGUGUUAGAUAUAUCCGUAUCUAAACAAAUAUAAGAUAAGUAAUUUGAGACAGAGGUAAUAUGCA
rfam:Triticum urartu cultivar G1812 contig21922, whole genome shotgun sequence.